rnacentral:rRNA from 1 species
AUUGAACGCUGGCGGCAGGCUUAACACAUGCAGGUCGAGCGGAGAGAGGUAGCUUGCUACUGAUCUUAGCGGCGGACGGGUGAGUAAUGCUUAGGAAUCUGCCUAUUAGUGGGGGACAACAUUUCGAAAGGAAUGCUAAUACCGCAUACGUCCUACGGGAGAAAGCAGGGGAUCUUCGGACCUUGCGCUAAUAGAUGAGCCUAAGUCGGAUUAGCUAGUUGGUGGGGUAAAGGCCUACCAAGGCGACGAUCUGUAGCGGGUCUGAGAGGAUGAUCCGCCACACUGGGACUGAGACACGGCCCAGAGUCCUACGGGAGGCAGCAGUGGGGAAUGUUGGACAAUGGGCGCAAGCCUGAUCCAGCCAUGCCGCGUGUGUGAAGAAGGCCUUAUGGUUGUAAAGCACUUUAAGCGAGGAGGAGGCUACUUUAGUCAAUACCUAGAGAUAGUGGACGUUACUCGCAGAAUAAGCACCGGCUAACUCUGUGCCAGCAGCCGCGGUAAAAC